rnacentral:rRNA from 1 species
UAAGGGAUAUUGCACAAUGGGCGCAAGCCUGAUGCAGCAACGCCGCGUGCCCGAUGAAGGCCUUCGGGUCGUAAAGGGCUUUUCUAGUCGAGGAAUAAGACUGUAGGCUAGGAAUAAGUGUCGGCUAACUACGUG